UACGAAGGGGGCUAGCGUUGCUCGGAGUCACUGGGCGUAAAGCGCACGUAGGCGGGUCGUUAAGUCAGGGGUGAAAUCCUGGAGCUCAACUCCAGAACUGCCCUUGAUACUGGCGAUCUCGAGUUCGGGAGAGGUGAGUGGAACUGCGAGUGUAGAGGUGAAAUUCGUAGAUAUUCGCAAGAACACCAGUGGCGAAGGCGGCUCACUGGCCCGAUACUGACGCUGAGGUGCGAAAGCGUGGGGAGCAAACAGG
rnacentral:rRNA from 1 species